AAUCCCUGUGAAGAAUCAUAAGAAAAAUUAAAAGUAGUGGACUGAAUUUCUAUUUGAUGAGCAAUGAAUUCUGAGGGAUG